GCCCUUAUAGUUCAAUAGAUAGAACAACCCCGUCCUAAGGGGUAGAUGUGGGUGCAAUUCCUACUGAGGGCA
rnacentral:tRNA from 3 species